GGGCGGUAAGCUCAGUGGUAGAGCGCAUGCUUUCCAUGUAUGAGGCCACGGGUUCAAUCCCCGUUAUGUCCA
rnacentral:tRNA from 1 species